UGGGGAAUUUUGGACAAUGGGCGAAAGCCUGAUCCAGCAAUGCCGCGUGUGUGAAGAAGGCCUUUGGGUUGUAAAGCACUUUUUGUCCGGAAAGAAAUCCUUGGCUCUAAUACAGUCGGGGGAUGACGGUACCGGAAGAAUAAGCACCGGCUAACUACGUGCCAGCAGCCGCGGUAAUACGUAGGGUGCAAGCGUUAAUCGGAAUUACUGGGCGUAAAGCGUGCGCAGGCGGUUUGCUAAGACCGAUGUGAAAUCCCCGGGCUCAACCUGGGAACUGCAUUGGUGACUGGCNGGCUAGAGUAUGGCAGAGGGGGGUAGAAUUCCACGUGUAGCAGUGAAAUGCGUAGAGAUGUGGAGGAAUACCGAUGGCGAAGGCAGCCCCCUGGGCCAAAUACUGACGCUCAUGCACGAAAAGCGUGGGGAGCAAAACAGGAUUAGAUACCCUGGUAGUCCACGCCCUAAAACGAUGUCAACUAGUUGUUGGGGAUUCAUUUCCUUAGUAACGCAGCUAACGCGUGAAGUUGACCGCCUGGGGAGUACGGUCGCAAAGAUUAAAAACUUAAAAUGAAUUGACGGGGUCAUAGCUGUUUCCU
rnacentral:rRNA from 1 species